rnacentral:rRNA from 1 species
GUGGGGAAUUUUGGACAAUGGGCGAAAGCCUGAUCCAGCAAUGCCGCGUGCAGGAUGAAGGCCCUCGGGUUGUAAACUGCUUUUGUACGGAACGAAAAGCUCUGGGCUAAUACCCCGGAGUCAUGACGGUACCGUAAGAAUAAGCACCGGCUAACUACGUGCCAGCAGCCGCGGUAAUACGUAGGGUGCAAGCGUUAAUCGGAAUUACUGGGCGUAAAGCGUGCGCAGGCGGUUUUGUAAGACAGUGGUGAAAUCCCCGGGCUGAACCUGGGAAAUGCCAUUGUGACUGCAAAGCUAGAGUGCGGCAGAGGGGGAUGGAAUUCCGCGUGUAGCAGUGAAAUGCGUAGAUAUGCGGAGGAACACCGAUGGCGAAGGCAAUCCCCUGGGCCUGCACUGACGCUCAUGCACGAAAGCGUGGGGAGCAAACAGGAUUAGAUACCCGUGUAGUCC